rnacentral:rRNA from 1 species
GACGAACGCUGGCGGCGUGCUUAACACAUGCAAGUCGAACGGAAAGGCCCUGCUUUUGUGGGGGUCUCGAGUGGCGAACGGGUGAGUAACACGUGAGUAACCUGCCCUUGGCUGGGGGAUAACUUCAGGAAACUGGGGCUAAUACCGGAUAGGAGCUCCUGCUGCAGGGUGGGGGUUGGAAAGUUUCGGCGGUUGGGGAUGGACUCGCGGCUUAUCAGCUUGUUGGUGGGGUAGUGGCUUACCAAGGCUUUGACGGGUAGCCGGCCUGAGAGGGUGAACGGGCACAUUGGGACUGAGAUACGGCCCAGACUCCUACGGGAGGCAGCAGUGGGGAAUCUUGCACAAUGGGCGGACGCCUGAUGCAGCAACGCCGCGUGCGGGAUGACGGCCUUCGGGUUGUAAACCGCUUUCGCCUGUGACGAAGCGUGAGUGACGGUACUGGGUAAAGAAGCACCGGCUAACUACGUG